rnacentral:rRNA from 1 species
UACGUAGGGUGCGAGCGUUGUCCGGAAUUAUUGGGCGUAAAGGGCUCGUAGGCGGUUUGUCGCGUCGGGAGUGAAAACUCAGGGCUUAACCCUGAGCCUGCUUCCGAUACGGGCAGACUAGAGGUAUGCAGGGGAGAACGGAAUUCCUGGUGUAGCGGUGAAAUGCGUAGAGAUCCGGAAGAACACCGGUGGCGAAGGCGGUCUGCUGGGCAGUUGCUGACACUGAGGCGCGACAGCGUGGGGAGCAAACAGGG